GGUGUCUAUUCAAACUAUAUUAACGUGAUAAAAACAUUAGUUAUAUAUAUACACUACUAAAUACAAAAUCGACUAUGUUAUUUGUAUAUAGUUCAAAAUUAAAUAAAUACAUACUUCCGCUUCCAAUCGUUGGUCUAAUAGAAAUCGUAUAUCUUGAAGCUCAGUAGGUAAUCCUACGUGACUCGACGUAUGGUUCUACCUAUUUAAAUAACUUAUUAGCAUAAUAAUUUUAAUUUAAAUAAAUUUAAUCAUGGUAAUAUUUAUUGAAUUUUACCUUGUUACGAGUGAGAAUGUACAGGUAGUUCGCUCGAGGACGUAAAAAUGGAAACCAAAACCAAGUCCAUAAUUGUAGUAGUAAAAGGCAACCACCAAUUUUGAUUUUUCCUGGUUGCGUCGCCCGACACAUCUCUUGGUAUAAUGUCGCCAACACGACGAACCCCUAACUGAGUUCGCUCGCUCCUCUAAAAUCGAUAGAUUUCAGCAGCCACUUUAGAUGAAUGAGAUUUCGUACUUAUCC
rnacentral:lncRNA from 1 species